CCUACGGGUGGCAGCAGUGAGGAAUAUUGGUCAAUGGCCGGAAGGCUGAACCAGCCAUGCCGCGUGAAGGUCAGUGCCCUAUGGGCGUUAAACUUCUUUUGUGCGGGAGCAAUAAUGGUCACGUGUGGCCAGACGAGAGUACCGUACGAAUAAGCAUCGGCUAACUCCGUGCCAGCAGCCGCGGUAAUACGGGGGAUGCAAGCGUUAUCCGGAUUUAUUGGGGGUAAAGGGAGCGUAGACGGCAGUGCAAGUCCGGAGUGAAAGCCCGGGGCUCAACCCUGGGACUGCUCUGGAAACUGUAAAGCUGGAGUGCGGGAGGGGCAGGCGGAAUUCCUGGUGUAGCGGUGAAAUGCGUAGAUAUCAGGAGGAACACCGGCGGCGAAGGCGGCCUGCUGGACCGUAACUGACGUUGAGGCUCGAAAGCGUGGGGAGCAAACAGGAUUAGAUACCCCGGUAGUC
rnacentral:rRNA from 1 species